rnacentral:lncRNA from 1 species
CAAAAAUAUGACAAAAGGAUAAUUACCAAAUAUCAUUUGAGCUAUGUCUUGGCUGAAAAGGAUGAUUGCAAUUAUUUGUUUUCUUUCAUGUCCUCCAUCCACCACGAGACCCUCAAGUUAUUUCUCUAUUAGUUAGUUGGAUUUCUUCGCCGUUUUACAGAUAAUUGGAAGCGCUUGCUUCUGUAUUUAUAAGAUGAUUAUUGGAGGUUAUUGACUUGCUGUUGAGAAUAAAACCUUAACGACGGCCGCCAUUGUGGUCUGCUACCUCACACAUGGUCAUCUGCCCAGGUAAAAUAAAUGGUACAGUUAAUUAGUUAAGUUUAUUUGGCUAUUGGUUAAUUUCUCUUUGUUCAUUGGAGUUCUGAUUAGAUAACAUAAGAUCAAAUAUAAAUUUUGUGAAAUUAUUUAUAGGAAAAGAGAAUGAUAAUAGCAUUUAACAGUUCAAAAUAUUGUUUAAAUUCCAAACAAAUUGACAUCUUAACUUGUAUGCUAUGGAGAUAUUAUACAAGUACUCAGGUUGUUUAUUACAUAAGGCAGAUGCAAUUUGCAUCUAUAGAAAUGGGCAGAAAUUCUGGAAAACUUGUGAACUCUAAUUUAACUCUCCAAUCAAUAAUAUGACAUGCCGUAGUGGUUAAAAAAAAUUGUAUGUUUAAGGGAAAAAACAUGUACACACACACACACACACACACAAUAUUUCAUAUCUGACUUUCUGAAAUGAAAAUGGUCAUAUGGAAAAAAAUUUUACAUUGUUUAAUAAAUAAAAACUGGUACAGCAAAGGAGUCGUGAAUUUAGAAUAGAUGAUAAAAUGAAUGACUUGAUUUACCCAUGAGAAAUGAUCUUGUGCUAAUUAUAAUUAGAAUUAUCCCCUUAUUUCCUUCUAUGUACUUAGUACUUAUAUUUCUUUUUUAAUUCAAUGGGAACAUUUGAUUGAUGGUAACUUCUAGUGUAAGUUGAAAAUAUUUGAAGAUUAUGCCCAGCAAAUUAAACAGAUAGUGGACAAGUUCUGAAUGCUAAGAUUUUCAUUAACCGUCCUUUUGAUAAUACUGAUUUAAAGAACCGAAUCUUGUUUAUGAGGAAGAAGGUUUGGCCAAAUCAAUUCUGAGUAAUGGAAUGUGACUAUCUUUUACAUUGAAAUAUGACAUUUAUAUGUAAUAUAUUUGGUGUAAAAUUGUUUUCUAUUGGUAAUGGAUUGAAGGUCAAAGAGGGUACAAAAUAUGAGUCCUAUGGCCAUCUUGGUAUGCAUAAAAAAUUAAAAUUGAGAAAUGAGAAAGAAGGAUAAUCACAUGGUACCAGAUAUAUGGUUAUAUAUGUUGCUAGCAUCAAUUUCAUAUGUUGCUAGCAUCAAUUUCAUAAUUAAUCUGCAUAAUUUUAUUUAUAGCCAAGACUAAUCCAUGUGAUUAAUAGUGAUUUUAUUGAAAUUUGUAACUUAUAAAAAGUUUCGACUUCGAAAUUAUAGUUUUUAUUCCUUAAAAUUUCAGUUUCAAUUUUUAAAAUACAUAUUUAAUACAAAACUUAAACAAUAGGAUGUAGGUUAUGUAUGGAUUAAUUUUCAUUAUUGUGGGGUUUUUUUUUUUUUUUUUUUUUUUCAAGUGGCUAUUGCUUUCAAUGAAGAAAUAUAUUAAGAUGUGAUCCCCUGCGCACAUGUACUGAAGUGUCAAAAUUGGCAUAUAUUUUUACUUUGGUCAUAAGUGUAAUGUAUGGGUACUUGAAAUUAUAAGAAUAUUUAAUACUGUCUCUUAGCAUAUUCCAGUUAAUUGCCCUUAAGCAUUAGAUGUGGACUUUUUAGGUUUUACUUUAUUUGGAAAAGAAACACUUGAUGAUGAAAAUAAUAUUUUGCUAAUGUGUUUAAUAAGAAUUUGUGGAUUGAUUAGUGAAUGAAAAUCAUAAAAGUGUGGGAAUCAUGUGCAUAACCAUCUCCACGCGAUGUUGGAUCAUAUCAAAAUAGAUAAAUUGUAAGAUCGUAUACUCACACUAUUCAAGUUGGAUAUCCUUGAAAUGUGGGGGUAUUAAACUAUUUAAUAUAGUUUUCAUUUCUUUGGUAAGUGGUCGAAGAAAAAUUGGAUGAAUAUUGACUUUUGUUUAAGUCUAUCUAAGUUAUUCUCAUAUAUUGUGACACUAAUAUUUUGUGAAAUGUUUAGAAGUGUUUCUAGGCAUGGAACAUUUUCAAAGAAGCUCCACACGAUGGAUAUCUUCAGAAUAUGGAAGUCAGAUACAAGAGUUGAAUGGAUGCACAUGUUCAAACAUGUGACUAGAAGUCAAUUUUAAGUUUCACUUUUUAUCUUAUUAUACUUAACGUGACUUUGAUAUUUUGAAAUGUUUUAGAAGAUUUUACAAAUGUACUGAUGUGCAAGCAGAAAAUAAAAGUUUGCAAAUAUUAUGGUACCAAAUUAUUGUUCAAGAGGGACAUGAAUAUGUUGAAGUUCAUAGUUAUAUACAUAAAUCAUUGAGGGGGAUGAGUUUAAGCCUAUAAGAGAGUCACCUCCGAGAGUAACC